UGGAUUCAUGCACUUUAUGCUCAUCCAAUCCAAGAGUGCAUGAAUAAGAUAAAUUCAACAUGGAAUAGACAAAGAGAUACCUUGCUAAUUGAUAACUUCCUCUAAUAUUUAGAUGCUCCGAUUCCGAAACGGCAUGCCAUCUAUCAAAAAAUAGCUUGUAUCCAUUACAUUACAUGUCAGUCAGUAAAAACUAAAAAGACGCUCUAAUAUUAUAUACAGUAGAUGGCAUUGGGUAAGCUAGUAGAUUGUUUUGUUCUAACCUUGUCGUUGAUUAUGAUCCAACAAACUUUCCUUGUGUUGUAAGUUGACACAUCUUUCUUUGAAUAGCUUGUCGAUGUCUGAAUUCAAAAUAGCAGUAAGAAAAUGCUGAGAAUGCCAUGCACUUUGGAUUAACCUAGAACAAUCUUGACCUCAGAUUAACAACCAUAAGCAACACUCCAAAGCACAAUACGUUCAAAGACAAAAUUGCAUGUGAAAGCAAGUGCAGUUUGGAUACAAAGGUAACGAGCACUCCCAAGUCACCAUUGCAGUUUCAGGACAAGGAUAUAUACUAAGGAUGAAAUUCACCGUUCCAUUUUCCUCCGGAACGUGCAUCGAUUCCUUCACCUGCAUUGCAACAUUUACUCAGGCCAAUAAAGUUGAAUCGUCAAGAUUACAAGUACUUUACCCUCGUUGUUGGAUCUUGGGGUAUAUAACAAUCUGUGGUUCUGGACAUGGCCUCUUCCUUCCGGCAGCGGUGGCCCAGUCUCCCUCUCCCGGUGCCGUCCAACCUGCCGGCUAGGGUCCGCUGGCAAGCCGUGCGUCAUGGGGCGGCGGCGGCGGCCUGCGAAUGCGUCCCGUGCGCGUGGGGUGCCGCGGUCAGUUCUCUGGGCUGGUGCGAUUUGGAUGUGCGAC
rnacentral:lncRNA from 1 species